ensembl:lncRNA
GAUUGCCUCAGUUAGUACAUCUCAAUUAUCAGUUGAAAUCACAUUUGUUUAAGUAAGUUAGCUAUGUUUUUUAUGGCAGUAAAUGAGGCUGAAUGAACUGUUUCCCUGCCAGACAAGGCUCCGCUGAUAGCCAGGUGUAGCAGCGGUCAGGAUUCACUCCAUGGUGCUGAAAAAAAAGUGACAUCUUGCCUGAUAAAUACCUAGAUGGUCUUUUUCGGGAGCAGUGCUUGCAAGAGAACGUGUACAUCAACAUUCAACAUUAAUUUGUUAUUUGAAGACACUCAUUAUCAACAGUUGAAUGCAGAUGAUAACUCUACCAUCGGAAACGUUUUCAUGGAGACACUACGUCGUUCUACAAAACGCUACUUGAGCAAAAUGAAGCAACUUCUAUAGAAAAAUGUUAAAAUAACACAGAAGCCUACAUUGAAUGGUUGUAUUUGAAUCACUUUUUCGUUGUUACAUUUACUCAAUCCAAAUUACUGUGGGGUUUCAUGGUUUCAGGACAACAGUACCUGGGAGGUUGUUCGAAAUGAAAUCGUGUGGAUAUUCAAGAACUUACAGAUUCUACUCGAGUCUAUGCACCAGAAAUGAGCAGAUGUAAUAUAUUUAUGUCAUGCCAUGACUGUAGGCUGCCGAAAUAAACCUGUUGAACCAUUUAACAUAAUUUGUAAUUAACUGACUGCACAAAUACAGUGAAAUUCAUCUCAAGUUUUAAAAUAAUCAUGAAUUAGUUGAUUGGCCAACAAUCUUGAACAAUCAAUGCCAUGAUCAGAUAGUUCAUUGUUACAUGGUAACCUAAUAUAAAGGCUUAACAUAAAAUCUGCAUAAUCAGAAACCUACACCUCCAAUUACACCUCGUUUAUUCAGAUUAAGAUAGCUGACGUUGCCACCGAUGUCUGUUCCUUUCUGUAUGUUUUCAGACAUCUAAAUUCCUGUAGAUUGUGAAAACAGUAUGUCACACACUGCGGUCGCACCUAAACGACUCUUAUCUGUACACACAGACUUAUGACUAAGUCACUUAAGAUUAGCCUGUAUCAGCAAAGUACUAACAUAUAACAAUGGACAAUUCUCUAAGUAAAAACAGCAUAGUAAGUCUAAUUAAACAGCACAGUAAAACCAUGAAUUUUACAUUUCCACCACAUAAUGACGCAGUAUAACAGUGGCGUACAGAACGGCAUUUCAUAAAUAACAAUUUGUGGCUCCUUGUCAUGGAUGGGCUAUUGCAACAGACGACCAAAAUGGGUUCUACUCCUACCAGUUAAAAGCAUGAAGUGGCUCUAGUGGGAAGGCAAUCACGAAAACUGGACAAUUGAGAAGUGGAAAAUGGUUGCUUUGUCCGAUGAAUCCCGGUUCUUUUUGCAUCAUGCUGAUGGCAGUCAGGAUUGGUGUACCUAAUUAACUGACCGCUGAGUGUAUUUUACAUGUUGAUUACUGUGAGGGUGGGGGCAUCUCUAAAUAUAAUGUCCA